rnacentral:rRNA from 1 species
AGUAUUGAACUGAAGAGUUUGAUCAUGGCUCAGAUUGAACGCUGGCGGCAGGCCUAACACAUGCAAGUCGAGCGGAUGAAGGGAGCUUGCUCCCUGAUUCAGCGGCGGACGGGUGAGUAAUGCCUAGGAAUCUGCCUGGUAGUGGGGGACAACGUCUCGAAAGGGACGCUAAUACCGCAUACGUCCU